rnacentral:rRNA from 1 species
UACGUAGGAGACGAGCGUUGUCCGGAAUCACUGGGCGUAAAGCGCGUGUAGGCGGGUCCGCAAGUCUGCUGUGAAAACUCCUGGCUUAACCGGGAGAGGUCGGUGGAAACUGCGAACCUGGAGGACGGUAGAGGCUGGUGGAAUUCCCGGUGUAGUGGUGAAAUGCGUAGAGAUCGGGAGGAACACCUAUGGCGAAGGCGGCCAGCUGGGCCGGACCUGACGCUGAGACGCGAAGGCGUGGGGAGCGAACGGG